rnacentral:rRNA from 1 species
GACGAACGCUGGCGGCGUGCUUAACACAUGCAAGUCGAACGGGCCCGCUCUCUUUUUUGGGGGUGGGUUGAGUGGCGAACGGGUGAGUAUCACGUGAGUAACCUGCCCCCUGCUCCUGGAUAACUGCUUGAAAGGGCGGCUAAUACGGGGUGUGCCGGCUGGUCCGCAUGGGCCUGGUCGGGAUAGUUUCAUCUUCGGGUGUUUCGGUGGGGGAUGGGCUCGCGGCCUAUCAGCUUGUUGGUGGGGUGAUGGCCCACCAAGGCGGUGACGGGUAGCCGGCCUGGGAGGGUGGGCGGCCACACUGGGACUGAGACACGGCCCAGACUCCUGCGGGAGGCAGCAGUGGGGGGUAUUGCACAAUGGGCGGAAGCCUGAUGCAGCGACGUCGCGUGAGGGAUGGAGGCCUUCGGGUUGUGAACCUCCUUCUCCGGUGGUGAAGGCCCUGUCCGUUGCGGCGGGGUUGACGGUAGCCGGGUAUGAAGCGCCGGCUAACUACGUG